rfam:Agrilus planipennis Contig32447, whole genome shotgun sequence.
AUUUUAUUGUAUUGGAAAUUUUCAUAAUUUCAAAUGCAUACAAGGUAGUCAAAUAUCUCUUCAAUUCGGUUGAAGAGGACCUUCAUUGGUCCUAGAACGGCCUGAGGUAGAGGGGUUUUAGUCGGUAGGUCCGAGGACUUCUUCCUCGGGAAUCCGACACUACCCAGUCGUACGGACGGCUGGGUGUCUUUUGAAGAUUUCCCCUCUUCCCCGAAA